GCCCUUAUAGCUCAGUUGGUAGAGGUAGGUUUUAAAGCAACUUAAGUCUGUGCCAUCCUAACAAAUGUGCAGCGCGACACUAGUACGCACCUUAUCAGGUGAUAUCGACGUGAUGUCGAGGUCUUCAGUUCGACUCUGAAUGAGGGCA